CCGUUCCACCAAGAGGAGCGCGUCCGUUCCAGCAGGCACCCACUUGGCGACCUCCAUCCGACCCCACCGUAGAGGUAAAGAAAUUGCAGGCUCCCCCGUAUUCGAUCUCCAUGGGGACUGGCUUGUCCCAGUCCGACGGCAACGGCGUGGAGGUCAACGCCAUGCGCGACCUGGAGAUCGGUCAAUCCACCAUAAUCAACAUGAUGCGGUCCGUGAUACCGUGUGCUUCGCCGCCGGCGGUAGCGCAUCUGGAGCGAGCGCUGUGGGGGCUGGGCUCCCUCACCCUUGUCCUGGCCCUCACCACCGUGCUUCACCUGCCGGCCGCCGGACCUGUCUUCGCCCGCUACAAGGCAGCAUACUAUGCUAUCCUUGCCUUUGUCCUCUUCGUAGCCGUGCCGGUGGAGCUGGCCACCGCCUUCUGCCUGCCGCGCUGCACCGACGGCCGCCGCCUCAUCGCCUUCGCCAGCCCUGCGCUUACGUGCUGCUACUCGUCGUCAUCUCCGUGGGAAUGCUGUUCUUGGAAGUUAGUCUUGUAGCAUUUCUACUUCAAGGAAAUGAAGCCAGUGGUUAUGGUGUCUUUGUCGCGCAACCUUAAUUUGUUACCUCUGGAGCUGUAGCCAGUGCUGAUGUAUUGCUCAAGGUGUCUCCCGGAAUACGAAGAGCAAGACGUGCUCUGCAUUCUUUUUUCAUGAAAGUUGUGCUUUGCACUCUUGCUUACUGGGGCCACAAUUUUCAUGUGGUCUGCAUCGACGUCUUGCUGAAGUAGCACCCAACUUCUCUGAUCGGCUUCCAGUUCGGCUUCUCCCACAGCACAGUACAGAUCCUCUGGUAGCUGGAUGAGACCCUCGACGUGCUCGCCAACGAGGGCCCCACCAGGGGCUCAAGAGGUACUCCAGCCAGCCCACCUAACUGCAGCUCUACAUUGACGGCGAGUUCUUCAGCGGGUGCAAUGUACAACAUCACUAUCGGUAUGUAUAUAUGUUCUCCACCUUUCCUUCUCCAGCGAUUAUGGUUUAAAGUUUAAGAAUUUUUGCUAUCCUACAUGCAGUGUGAGAUAUUUGUUUUGUCUAGCAUCAGGUACUGGAAUAUAUUCAUUAAUAUGGCAUGUUCUGAAUUUCUGAGGGCGAUAGAACAUGGAGCUGUUUCAGGCAUAAGAUUUGAUCAGGUUGAAGGCGAUAUACAUUAGUGUUACAUGUGGCUUAAAAGUUAUGUGGCAGUGUCAAACUGUCAAUGUGUCAUAGCUGCAUCAGCAAAAUUAGUUCAGAACUUCACAUUCAAGAGAUAAACUAGGAGCGGAGUGCAGGUGCCAACAUCAAACCGGCCAAGCUUUCGGGAGAGAAUCUCAUCCGUUCUGCUCCUGCUCAAAGCUUUGAAUAGCAUUUCACAGCGGAUACUGCCAAGUGCGUCGUUUAAAUCAUUUGAAAGUAGAGAGCUUUCAUUGUUUUUAUUUAAGGUUCAGUGCCGGCCUCUGGGAUAGAGCUGACUUACAUGAUGCUCAGACUAUCUGAAGGCCUGAAAACAAUUUUUUUCUUCUGUAGACCGAGAAAUAAUGUUGCAUCAUGAUGCACUAAUAUUUCAGGGCAGGUGCAAAAUUCUAAACAUAUAGCAUAGCUUGAAUUGUUGGCGAACCUUCCUCAUUUCCUUCUGAGCCACAUGAGUAGCAGAAGAAUCAGCUAUUGGAUUGCUGAUAAGUAUCCAAUUUUCUGCUCCAGGCUGGACAACUGGUGUUAUCUAGUCCAUUAUGUCCCACAACAUGUAAAAUACACAAAUAAAUGGAUGAGAUUCAUGCUUCAAAAAGGUCUGCUUGCUGACCUGUCUGCCUAGUAUAAAUUUAGAACGUAUAGACUUUGUUGAUGAAAUUGCACGAUGUUUGUAUACCAAAUUAUAGAUAGAUAUCAAGAAAGAUUAGUCUUGCUUUUUGUCUGCUCAAGAUUAAUGCUGAUUCUCCUUCUGUACUCAACAUUUGAUGCCAGUGCUUGCCUGAACUGUAACGCUUGCUGUGCUGUGCGAUUUUGACAUGCUGGAGAAAGCAAUGUGCUGUUAUCGAAUGAUGGCCACACCAUACAGUAACACAUGCUCUAGUCCUUCCUGAUGUACCGUUCAGCCCAUGACAGAAAACCAGAGAUAUGUUGCAUAAUUAACAUGCAUGACCAUCACCAACAAGUGAAUAGAUAUGUUGCAUAAUUAACAUGCAUGACCAUCACCAACAAGUGAAUAGAUAUGUGCAUAAUUAACAUGCAUGACCAUCACCAACAAGUCACAAUUACGAUAUAUGUUGCCUACGCAAAUCAUACAUCGAAUUGAUUAUAUGUUCAGGCCACCAGGGAGAAGAUACUAGGUAAUUCACUCCAUCUUAUGUUUGUUUUUUGUAUUAUGAUCAAUUUUGAGUACCUAAACAAGUUCCAUUUAAAGGUAAAUCCAGGAUAUUGUACUAUCAAGCGUUGUAUGUUUGAAGAUUAAGAAGCAAAAUUUAAAGUAGUUGACAACACGUAUAACAACUCUCAAAUGGCUACAUGGUGCAAUAAAUUCAUUUUUUAUUGGACAAAGCCAAUAUAAAGUUCUUGAUUCAUAUACAAUAUGUCAUAUUUUCCCAUUUAACUGAGGAUUUCUGGUAGCAUGUGAAAGAUCACAGAUAAGCAAAAACAUUGUUCAAGUCAUUGUUCUCAGUUUUCUCACGGUCUUCUGGUCCCCACUUUUUGCAACUGUGUUUACUACGCAGAACUGAUGUGUUUACUCUUCACAGUCCAAGAAAGAUUUACAACUUCAUUCAUGGUUGGUCUCUUGAUUCUUGAUUCUUCCAGGCACGGUACAGCAGUCGCCAUCAUGAUUAUAACCUGCUUGGUAUGGAACUGUCUAAGAAGCUUAGCAUCCAUUACACUCCUAGCAUCUCCAGUAGCUGAGGCUUCCUUUACAUCCUGGACAGAAAUGUUUCAGAUUGAUAAAUUUGUCAUCUCU